GCGGUUGUAGCUAAGUCGGUUAGAGUACCGGCCUGUCACGCCGGGGGUCGCGGGUUCGAGCCCCGUCAACCGCGCCA
rnacentral:tRNA from 1 species